rnacentral:misc_RNA from 1 species
AGAGAGAGAGAGAGAGAGAGACAAGGAAAGGACAUCUUCAUUUUCUCUUCAUUCAUGGGCUGUUCUGCUUCAAAACCCGAUACCCUCGACCCCAAGAGCGAUCGCCUUGAAGAAAAUUUUUCUCUAGAGAGCUCUGUGUUUACUUCUUCUUCCUCACCCGUCCCUAGAGCUCUCUCUCUUCAGACCCCACUUGUCCAUCACCCGCCUUCAAGAAAAGGUGAUUCCCAUCAUCUUGUGUCUCUCACCUCCACCACUUAUGGCUCUCUUCUCCUUGUUGAACCUGUAAAAUCCAAAUUGAACGGGCAAAAUCCACCUUAUCAGCUCCAUUCACCGCCCAAAUUCGCCAAAAACACUCAUAAAACACAAGCCCCUGCAGACCCUGGUGAGUCUUUUUCACCUGACUCUGUCAUCAACACUUGGGAGCUCAUGGAUGGUCUCGAUGAUGACUUGGAUUUCGAAAUGGGUGAUUCUUUGAAGCCAAAAUCAUCAUUUUCUGACCAUGCUAUACUGUUUUCCUCGAAAUCCAGUUCGUUUCAGCAUCUGGGUUUUGAUGAUUCUGUUAAAAAGCUGCAGGAUUCUUUUAAUUCUAUGAAAUCUGAAGAAAUUGCACUUCAGAACUCAUUUUCACCGUCAAAGCCACUGUGGAAGCAUUUGUCAGAGGAAUCAUUUCUAUCAAAAAUGGAUCCCAAUGUGGUCUCAAGUUACAGGCGUGCAUUAUCAUCUCGGCAGUUGGGCUACACUAGAGAAUCCACAGGUGCAAGAUCGGUGGGUUCCAGUCCCAUGAAUCCUUCACCAACCCACAACAAUGGGUUCCUUUUGCAUAAUACAGAGGAUAAAAUUGUUUUGUAUUUUACAAGUUUGAGAGGAAUUAGAAAAACUUAUGAAGACUGCUGCUCAGUUAGGAUGAUUUUCAGGGGUUUUCGAGUUCCAGUGGAUGAAAAGGACAUUUCAAUGGAUGCUUCAUACAGAAAGGAGUUGCAGAGUCUGCUUAAACUGAAAGUAGUUAGCUUGCCGCAAGUGUUUAUCCGGGGGAAGCAUAUUGGUGGAGUGGAAGAGAUCAGGCAGCUGAAUGAAACAGGUGAAUUAGCAAAGCUUUUAGAAGGGUUUCCCGUUAGAGAUCCUAGGUUGGUCUGUGACAGUUGUGGGGAUGCAAGAUUUGUUCCAUGUCCAAAUUGCAAUGGCAGUAGGAAGGUGUUUGAUGAGGAGGAAGAGCAGCUGAGGAGGUGCCUGGAUUGCAAUGAAAAUGGGUUGAUUCGCUGCCCUGGUUGCUGCAGCUCAUGACACUACUAAUUGUGUGAUGCAUAUUAUUUGCUCAAUUUUGGUACUAGCUUCUUCUUGAUCUUGAGGGAAUUCUAAAGACUACUGUUGCUUAAAUCUCACUAUUUUGUGAUUGCUAAUGCUAUUAAGAUAUGUUUAUUUUCUUCUGUUUUACAUGUGGUUAAGCUUUUGGGUAUUGUUGUUCAUUGCCUUUUUGAACAGUUGAAAUAAAAAUGAAAAAUUAAAAAAAAAAUCCUUUUUUAUGCUUAUUUUUGUUCAUUAUUUGGAAUUUUUAUUGGUAGUGGACAUUAAUGAAGACUGCUGCUACUGUUAGCUUUCCUUAGCAGCUCUGUUU